UAGAGUUUGAUCAUGGCUCAGGACGAACGCUGGCGGCGUGCUUAACACAUGCAAGUCGAACGGAAAGGCCCUUCGGGGUACUCGAGUGGCGAACGGGUGAGUAACACGUGGGUGAUCUGCCCUGCACUUUGGGAUAAGCCUGGGAAACUGGGUCUAAUACCGAAUACACCCUGCUGGUCGCAUGGCCUGGUGGGGGAAAGCUUUUGCGGUGUGGGAUGGGCCCGCGGCCUAUCAGCUUGUUGGUGGGGUGAUGGCCUACCAAGGCGACGACGGGUAGCCGGCCUGAGAGGGUGACCGGCCACACUGGGACUGAGAUACGGCCCAGACUCCUACGGGAGGCAGCAGUGGGGAAUAUUGCACAAUGGGCGCAAGCCUGAUGCAGCGACGCCGCGUGGGGGAUGACGGCCUUCGGGUUGUAAACUCCUUUCGCCAGGGACGAAGCGCAAGUGACGGUACCUGGAGAAGAAGGACCGGCCAACUACGUGCCAGCAGCCGCGGUAAUACGUAGGGUCCGAGCGUUGUCCGGAAUUACUGGGCGUAAAGAGCUCGUAGGUGGUUUGUCGCGUUGUCCGUGAAAACUCACAGCUUAACUGUGGGCGUGCGGGCGAUACGGGCAGACUAGAGUACUGCAGGGGAGACUGGAAUUCCUGGUGUAGCGGUGGAAUGCGCAGAUAUCAGGAGGAACACCGGUGGCGAAGGCGGGUCUCUGGGCAGUAACUGACGCUGAGGAGCGAAAGCGUGGGGAGCGAACAGGAUUAGAUACCCUGGUAGUCCACGCCGUAAACGGUGGGUACUAGGUGUGGGUUUCCUUCCUUGGGAUCCGUGCCGUAGCUAACGCAUUAAGUACCCCGCCUGGGGAGUACGGCCGCAAGGCUAAAACUCAAAGGAAUUGACGGGGGCCCGCACAAGCGGCGGAGCAUGUGGAUUAAUUCGAUGCAACGCGAAGAACCUUACCUGGGUUUGACAUGCACAGGACGCCGGCAGAGAUGUCGGUUCCCUUGUGGCCUGUGUGCAGGUGGUGCAUGGCUGUCGUCAGCUCGUGUCGUGAGAUGUUGGGUUAAGUCCCGCAACGAGCGCAACCCUUGUCUCAUGUUGCCAGCACGUAAUGGUGGGGACUCGUGAGAGACUGCCGGGGUCAACUCGGAGGAAGGUGGGGAUGACGUCAAGUCAUCAUGCCCCUUAUGUCCAGGGCUUCACACAUGCUACAAUGGCCGGUACAAAGGGCUGCGAUGCCGUGAGGUGGAGCGAAUCCUUUCAAAGCCGGUCUCAGUUCGGAUCGGGGUCUGCAACUCGACCCCGUGAAGUCGGAGUCGCUAGUAAUCGCAGAUCAGCAACGCUGCGGUGAAUACGUUCCCGGGCCUUGUACACACCGCCCGUCACGUCAUGAAAGUCGGUAACACCCGAAGCCGGUGGCCUAACCCCUUGUGGG
rnacentral:rRNA from 1 species